AAAGGAAUAGACGGGGACCCGCACAAGCAGUGGAGCGCCUGGUUUAAUUCGAUGCUAAGCGAAGAACCUCACCAAGGCUUGAACUGUAGCUGCAAUCCUUCCGAAAAGAAGGACUCCUUCGAGGGUGCUACAGAGGUGCUGCAUGGCUGUCGUCAGCUCGUGUCGUGAGAUGUAUGGUUAAGUCCAGCAACGAGCGCAACCCCUACCUGAUGUUACAAUUUCUUCGGGAACUGCCCCGCCAAAACGGGGAGGAAGGAGGGGACGAUGUCUAGUCAUCAUAGCCCUUAUGUCUUGGGCAACACAGGCGCUACAAUGGAUAGUACAAAGGGUUGCCAAAUCGCAAGAUGGAGCUAAUCCCAAAAAACUAUUCUCAGUUCGGAUUGUCGGCUGAAAUUCGCCGGCAUGAAGUAGGAAUUGCUAGUAAUCGCAGAUCAGAAUGCUGCGGUGAAUACGUUCUCGGGUCUUGUACACACCGCCCGU
rnacentral:rRNA from 1 species